AUGCGGGCGGGCGCGACCCGGGGCUCGAGACUCCGCCUCUCUGGGCCUCGGCCUCCUCACCGGCCAAGGCGGCGCCCGGGGCACCCCCGCGGGGCUCCAAGGCCACGAGCAGCUUGUAAAACCCAAGUCCUGGUGGCCUCGAGUCUACAUUCCUGCCUGACAGCUGUUGCUGGAGAUGAUUAUGGAAAGCCUAUUGAACUAACAGGCCCUCUCAGGGUCCCCGUGGAUCCCCUCCUGCCUCAUCCUUGGGCUUACCUGUCAGAGCCUCCAGCUACAGAGUCAUGUUGUCGGAAACAAGAACCUCAAAGAGAUGUUUCUUCUAAAGGAAAGUUAUUCCCUUGUCAUUGGAAAUUCAGCCCUGAUGAUCAGGAGAUAGAAAGGCAAAAAUGCCUCAGUAUCCCUGAGGCUGCCGUGGAGGUGGAGCUGUCUGAAGAAAAACUUCCCUGCUACAUUGCCAGGGCACAGGCCAAUGCCAAUUAUGGAUGCCGAGCUGACUCUCAGUGCUUUUUAUUUUAUAAAUCACAUACUCAGGUAACCCGUAGAGUGCAUUUGUGUCAAAUUGACACAGGCUUUCAUGAAGAGGCAUCAGCUGAAGACAACCCCUCCCCGAACCAGCACAACCCAUGGCCCCAGAAUCCUAGUAAGCUGGGAGGGCUCCCACAUGUAAGUGGGAAAGCCAUUGAGGGGGAGAGAAGGGGUGCUGAUGAGAAGUGGUUGCUGCUUGGUGCUUGGAAAGGUGGCAGGAUGAGUCUCUGCCAAGAAACCCAACCUGGCUCAUUUUUGACAACAAACAAAGGACCGGAUUGAAGAUGUCAUGGGAAUCAGUGUUGUCCAUCAUGAAUGCUUCUGUGGUCUCCAAGCAAAACAUUUGAAAGACAUUGAGGCCGAAGAGGGGAAUAAGCAGCAGCCCCUGCCCCACACCCAUUCACUGCCCCCACAAGAGAAAUCAGUGCUAAGAAAUGUGUAAAAAGCAAUUAAAUAACAUGAAUAAACAUUUUUAUCGUUUAAGAAUAAUUCCA
rnacentral:lncRNA from 12 species